UUACUGAGUUUACGCUCUAUAACCCUUUGUGAACAUACCUAUAACUGUUGCUUCGGCGGGUAGGGUCUCCGCGACCCUCCCGGCCUCCCGCCCCCGGGCGGGUCGGCGCCCGCCGGAGGAUAACCAAACUCUGAUUUAACGACGUUUCUUCUGAGUGGUACAAGCAAAUAAUCAAAACUUUUAACAACGGAUCUCUUGGUUCUGGCAUCGAUGAAGAACGCAGCGAAAUGCGAUAAGUAAUGUGAAUUGCAGAAUUCAGUGAAUCAUCGAAUCUUUGAACGCACAUUGCGCCCGCCAUCAUUCUGGCGGGCAUGCCUGUUCGAGCGUCAUUUCAACCCUCAAGCUCUGCUUGGUGUUGGGGCCCUACAGCUGAUGUAGGCCCUCAAAGGUAGUGGCGGACCCUCCCGGAGCCUCCUUUGCGUAGUAACUUUACGUCUCGCACUGGGAUCCGGAGGGACUCUUGCCGUAAAACCCCCAAUUUUCCAAAGGUUGACCUCGGAUCAGGUAGGAAUACCCGCUGAACUUAAGCAUAUCAAUAAGCGGAGGAAAAGAAACCAACAGGGAUUGCCUCAGUAACGGCGAGUGAAGCGGCAACAGCUCAAAUUUGAAAUCUGGCCCUAGGCCCGAGUUGUAAUUUGCAGAGGAUGCUUUUGGUGCGGUGCCUUCCAAGUUCCCUAGAACGGGACGCCAGAGAGGGUGAGAGCCCCGUACAGUUGGACACCAAGCCUUUGUAAAGCUCCUUCGACGAGUCGAGUAGUUUGGGAAUGCUGCUCAAAAUGGGAGGUAUAUUUCUUCUAAAGCUAAAUACCGGCCAGAGACCGAUAGCGCACAAGUAGAGUGAUCGAAAGAUGAAAAGCACUUUGAAAAGAGGGUUAAACAGCACGUGAAAUUGUUAAAAGGGAAGCGCUUGUGACCAGACUUGCGUCCGGUGAAUCACCCAGCUCUCGCGGCUGGGGCACUUCGCCGGCUCAGGCCAGCAUCAGCUCGCUGUCGGGGACAAAAGCUUCAGGAACGUAGCUCUCUUCGGGGAGUGUUAUAGCCUGUUGCAUAAUACCCUUCGGCGGGCUGA
rnacentral:misc_RNA from 1 species